UCCUCCCUUUGCUGAAAAGUACUCCUCAUC
rnacentral:piRNA from 1 species